rnacentral:rRNA from 1 species
GUGGGGAAUAUUGGGCAAUGGGUGCAAGCCUGACCCAGCCAUCCCGCGUGCCGGAUGAAGGCCCUCUGGGUCGUAAACGGCUUUUGACGGUGAAGAACCGAAAGGGUGCGCCCUUUUUUGACGGUAGCCGUUGAAUAAGCACCGGCUAACUCCGUGCCAGCAGCCGCGGUAAUACGGAGGGUGCGAGCGUUGUCCGGAUUUAUUGGGUUUAAAGGGUGCGUAGGCUGGAGGGACAGUCAGCGGUGAAAAGCAGUUGCUCAACAAUUGUCUUGCCGCAGAUACUACCUUUCUUGGAUUGGGAGGAGGUUACCGGAACGGAUGGUGUAGCGGUGAAAUGCAUAGAUAUCAUCCAGAACGCCAAUUGCGAAGGCAGGUAACUGUACCUAUAUCGACGCUGAUGCACGAAAGCAUGGGUAGCGAACAGGAUUAGAAACCCGAGUAGUCC